rnacentral:rRNA from 1 species
UACGUAGGGACCGAGCGUUGUCCGGAUUCAUUGGGCGUAAAGCGUCCGCAGGUGGCACCUCAAGUCUGCUGUCAAAGACCGGGGCUUAACCCCAGAAAGGUAGUGGAAACUGAAGUGCUAGAGUGCAGUAGGGGUAGAGGGAAUUCCCGGUGUAGCGGUGAAAUGCGUAGAGAUCGGGAAGAACAUCGGUGGCGAAAGCGCUCUGCUGGACUGCAACUGACACUCAGGGACGAAAGCUAGGGGAGCGAAUGGG